rnacentral:RNase_P_RNA from 1 species
AAGUUAAAUAGUCGCUGGUAAAUUCCGAAAGGAACUACGAGAGGAAAGUCCGGGCUCCAUAGAGCAAAGAUGCUAGAUAACGUCUAGUAAGGGAGACCUUAAGGAAAGUGCAACAGAAAAUAACCGCUUCUUGUAAAAGAAGUAAGGAUGAAAAGGCGAGGUAAGAGCUCACCGCUGGUAUGGUGACAUACUGGGCUGUGUAAACCCCAUCUGGAGCAACACCUAAGUAGAAGGAUAAGCCUGCUCGGCAUCUUCUGAAUUGAGUGGCUUGAGAUAUGUAGUGAUAUAUAUCCUAGAUAAAUGACUAUUUUAAAUGACAGAACCCGGCUUACAGGCUUACU